rnacentral:lncRNA from 1 species
AGGUGGUCUAUGCAUCUGUUCACGGAAGUGGGAAGCUGGCUGAUUUGUCAAACCUGUUGGUGCUCCAAUAUCUUCAUGCCCCUGUAGUCCAAGGGCAGUACCAUGAUCAAACCCCUUAGUCACAUGAGCCUCGGGAGCAGUAACUGGUCUGUGGGCGGCAUGAUGACCCUGAAGGCCUGUUGGUUCUCCAAUAUUUUCAUGUCCCUGCAGUCCUUGAUGACCUUGUUCUCCAAGGGAAAUACCAUGAUCAAAGCCUUUAGCCUCAUGAGUUUCGGGAGCAGUAACUGGUCUGUGGGCGGCAUGAUGACCCUGAAGGCCUGUUGGUGCUCCAAUAUUUUCAUGUCCCUGCAGUCCUUGAUGACCUUGUUCUCCAAGGGAAAUACCAUGAUCAAACCCCUUAGUCACAUGAGUCUCGGGAGCAGUAACAGGUCUGUGGGCGGCAUGAUGACCCUGAAGGCCUGUUGGUGCUCCAAUAUUUUCAUGUCCCUGCAGUCCUUGAUGACCUUGUUCUCCAAGGGAAAUACCAUGAUCAAAGCCUUUAGCCUCAUGAGUCUCGGGAGCAGUAACUUGUCUAUGGGCAGCAUGAUGAUCCACUAGGCCUGUUGGUGCUCCAAUAUUUUCAUGUCCCUGCAGUCCUUGAUCUUCAUGUUUUCCUAGGGAAGUAAGAUGAUCAGUGCCGCCUUUAGUCUCAUGAGUCUCGGUAAAAGGUUGCCUCGCAAAUUCGUCUUGCCUCUGCAAAACUGG